UCUAUGAGCAUGAAAAUGUAGUUGCGGAUGAUAUUGACCAACAAAUGGCUCAAAGUAACAAUGUUGGUUCGUCUUCUCAGUCACAUGAUCGAGAAAUGCAAGUUCAACGUGAGAAAAUUGUCCGUACUAUGUGGGAGGAUUAUAUUAAAGACUAGUACACUACAAUUUAUGUUCAAUUUUUUUUAUUAAAUUAAAGUUAGAUGAAACAAUUACUUAAGUGGAGAACAAAU
rnacentral:lncRNA from 1 species